rnacentral:rRNA from 1 species
CUUGGUCAUUUAGAGGAAGUAAAAGUCGUAACAAGGUCUCCGUUGGUGAACCAGCGGAGGGAUCAUUACAGAGUUCUCGCAACUCCCACACCCUUGUGAACCAUACCACAUGUUGCCUCGGCGGGGCGCGACCACCCUGUAGCAACCUACCCUGUAGGCGCUACCCUGUGGACGCGGUUCACCCCGCCGGCGGCCCAUCAAACUCUGUUUACUUUUGAACUCUGAACCUAUAACGAAAUACGUUAAAACUUUCAACAACGGAUCUCUUGGUUCUGGCAUCGAUGAAGAACGCAGCGAAAUGCGAUAAGUAAUGUGAAUUGCAGAAUUCAGUGAAUCAUCGAAUCUUUGAACGCACAUUGCGCCCACUGGUAUUCCGGUGGGCAUGCCUGUUCGAGCGUCAUUACAACACUUAAGCCCUGUUGCUUAGCGUUGGGAGCCUACGACGUACUGUAGCUCCUCAAAGUUAGUGGCGGAGCCGGUCCGUGCUCUAGGCGUAGUAGAUUUUCGUCUCGCCUGUAGCCGGGCCCGGUGCCCUGCCGUAAAACACACCUAUUUUCUCAAGGUUGACCUCGGAUCAGGUAGGAAUACCCGCUGAACUUAAGCAUAUCAAUAAGCGGAGG